CCCUUGAUGUCUACAAACGAGCUGGCCAGCAGGCUGGUAGUCUUUCCGAUUUCUAUGAAGUUUGCAAAGGAUUGGAACUUGCUAGGAACUUCCAAUUUCCUGUUUUGAGAGAACCUCCGCAAUCCUUUCUUACAACCAUGGAAGAGUAUAUAAGAGAGGCACCGAGAGUUGUUUCUGUUCCAAGUGAGCCACUGCUCCAAUUAACAUA
rnacentral:misc_RNA from 1 species